UGGGGGAAUUUUGGACAAUGGGGGGAAACCCUGAUCCAGCCAUCCCGCGUGUGCGAUGAAGGCCUUCGGGUUGUAAAGCACUUUUGCAGGAAAGAAACGUCGCGGGUUAAUACCCCGCGAAACUGACGGUACCUGCAGAAUAAGCACCGGCUAACUACGUGCCAGCAGCCGCGGUAAUACGUAGGGUGCAAGCGUUAAUCGGAAUUACUGGGCGUAAAGCGUGCGCAGGCGGUUCGGAAAGAAAGAUGUGAAAUCCCAGAGCUUAACUUUGGAACUGCAUUUUUAACUACCGGGCUAGAGUGUGUCAGAGGGAGGUGGAAUUCCGCGUGUAGCAGUGAAAUGCGUAGAUAUGCGGAGGAACACCGAUGGCGAAGGCAGCCUCCUGGGAUAACACUGACGCUCAUGCACGAAAGCGUGGGGAGCAAACAGGAUUAGAUACCCUGGUAGUCCACGCCCCUAAACGAUGUCAACUAGCUGUUGGGGGCCUUCGGGCCUUGGUAGCGCAGCUAACGCGUGAAGUUGACCGCCCGGGGGAGUACGGUCGCAAGAUUAAAACUCAAAGGAAUUGACGGGGUCAUAG
rnacentral:rRNA from 1 species